rnacentral:rRNA from 1 species
GACGAACGCUGGCGGCGUGCUUAACACAUGCAAGUCGAACGGAAAGGCCCUGCUUUUGUGGGGUGCUCGAGUGGCGAACGGGUGAGUAACACGUGAGUAACCUGCCCUUGACUUUGGGAUAACUUCAGGAAACUGGGGCUAAUACCGGAUAGGAGCUCCUGCUGCAUGGGGGGGGUUGGAAAGUUUCGGCGGUUGGGGAUGGACUCGCGGCUUAUCAGCUUGUUGGUGGGGUAGUGGCUUACCAAGGCUUUGACGGGUAGCCGGCCUGAGAGGGUGGACGGCGUCAAUGGGCCUGCGGGACGGCCCAGACUCCUACGGGAGGCAGCAGUGGGGAGUAUUGCCCAAUGGGCCGAAGCCUGAUGCAGCAACGCCGCGUGCGGGAUGACGGCCUUCGGGUUGUGAACCGCUUUCGCCUGUGACGAAGCGUGAGUGACGGUAAUGGGUAAAGAAGCACCGGCUAACUACGUG